rnacentral:rRNA from 1 species
GACGAACGCUGGCGGCGUGCUUAACACAUGCAAGUCGAACGGAAAGGCCCUGCUUGCAGGGUACUCGAGUGGCGAACGGGUGAGUAACACGUGGGUGAUCUGCCCUGCACUUCGGGAUAAGCCUGGGAAACUGGGUCUAAUACCGGAUAGGAGCCAUUUUUAGUGUGAUGGUUGGAAAGUUUUUUCGGUGUAGGAUGAGCUCGCGGCCUAUCAGCUUGUUGGUGGGGUAAUGGCCUACCAAGGCGGCGACGGGUAGCCGGCCUGAGAGGGUGGACGGCCACAUUGGGACUGAGAUACGACCCAGACUCCUACGGGAGGCAGCAGUGGGGAAUAUUGCACCAUGGGCGCAAGCCUGAUGCAGCGACGCCGCGUGGGGGAUGACGGCCUUCGGGUUGUAAACUCCUUUCGCUAGGGACGAAGCUUUUUGUGACGGUACCUAGAUAAGAAGCACCGGCUAACUACGUG